ACGAACGCUGGCGGCGUGCUUAACACAUGCAAGUCGAACGGAAAGGCCCUGCUUUUGUGGGGUGCUCGAGUGGCGAACGGGUGAGUAACACGUGAGUAACCUGCCCUUGACUUUGGGAUAACUUCAGGAAACUGGGGCUAAUACCGGAUAGGAGCUCCUGCUCCAUGGUGGGGGUUGGAAAGUUUCGGCGGUUGGGGAUGGACUCGCGGCUUAUCAGCUUGUUGGUGGGGUAGUGGCUUACCAAGGCUUUGACGGGUAGCCGGCCUGAGAGGGUGACCGGCCACAUUGGGACUGAGAUACGGCCCAGACUCCUACGGGAGGCAGCAGUGGGGAAUAUUGCACAAUGGGCGGAAGCCUGAUGCAGCAACGCCGCGUGCGGGAUGACGGCCUUCGGGUUGUAAACCGCUUUCGCCUGUGACGAAGCGUGAGUGACGGUAAUGGGUAAAGAAGCACCGGCUAACUACGUG
rnacentral:rRNA from 1 species